rnacentral:rRNA from 1 species
UGGGGAAUUUUGGACAAUGGGCGAAAGCCUGAUCCAGCAAUGCCGCGUGCAGGAUGAAGGCCUUCGGGUUGUAAACUGCUUUUGUACGGAACGAAAAAGCUCCUUCUAAUACAGGGUGCCCAUGACGGUACCGUAAGAAUAAGCACCGGCUAACUACGUGCCAGCAGCCGCGGUAAUACGUAGGGUGCGAGCGUUAAUCGGAAUUACUGGGCGUAAAGCGUGCGCAGGAGGUUAUGUGAGACAGAUGUGAAAUCCCCGGGCUCAACCUGGGAACUGCAUUUGUGACUGCAUGGCUAGAGUACGGUAGAGGGGGAUGGAAUUCAGCGUGUAGCAGUAAAAUGCGUAGAUAUGCGGGGAAACACCGAGGGCGAACGCAAUCCCCUGGGCCUGUACUGACGCUCAUGCACGAAAGCGUGGGGAGCAAACAAG